rnacentral:misc_RNA from 1 species
CCAAUAGCGUAUAUUAAAGUUGUUGCAGUUAAAAAGCUCGUAGUUGAAUUUCGGGAUCAAUAUAUCGGUCGUGCCAUCGGUACGUACUGGUAUCAUUGGUUUCUCCUUUCUGACGAACCAUGAUGUCAUUAAUUUGGUGUUAUGGGAAGUUAGGACUGUUACUUUGAAAAAAUUAGAGUGUUUAAAGCAGGCUUUAGCUUGAAUACAUUAGCAUGGAAUAAUGAAAUAGGACGUUCGAACCUAUUUUGUUGGUUUCUAGGAUCAACGUAAUGAUUAAUAGGGAUAGUUGGGGGCAUUAGUAUUCAAUUGUCAGAGGUGAAAUUCUUGGAUUUAUUGAAGACUAACUACUGCGAAAGCAUUUGCCAAGGAUGUUUUCAUUAAUCAAGAACGAAAGUUAGGGGAUCGAAGACGAUCAGAUACCGUCGUAGUCUUAACCAUAAACUAUGCCGACUAGGGAUCGGAUGAUGUUAAUUUUUUAAUGACUCAUUCGGCGCCUUACG